rnacentral:rRNA from 1 species
AUUGAACGCUGGCGGCAUGCCUUACACAUGCAAGUCGAACGGCAGCGGGGGAGAAGCUUGCUUUUCCUGCCGGCGAGUGGCGAACGGGUGAGUAGUACAUCGGAACGUGCCCUGUAGUGGGGGAUAACUAGUCGAAAGAUUAGCUAAUACCGCAUACGACCUGAGGGUGAAAGUGGGGGACCGCAAGGCCUCAUGCUAUAGGAGCGGCCGAUGUCUGAUUAGCUAGUUGGUGGGGUAAAGGCCUACCAAGGCGACGAUCAGUAGCUGGUCUGAGAGGACGAUCAGCCACACUGGGACUGAGACACGGCCCAGAUUCCUACGGGAGGCAGCAGUGGGGAAUUUUGGACAAUGGGCGAAAGCCUGAUCCAGCAAUGCCGCGUGUGUGAAGAAGGCCUUCGGGUUGUAAAGCACUUUUGUCCGGAACGAAAUGGCUCUGGUUAAUACCUGGGGUCGAUGACGGUACCGGAAGAAUAAGGACCGGCUAACUACGUGCCAGCCGCCGCCGUAA